rnacentral:rRNA from 1 species
UACGUAGGGGGCAAGCGUUGUCCGGAUUUAUUGGGCGUAAAGAGCGUGUAGGCGGCCACACAGGUCUGCUGUGAAAACUCGAGGCUCAACCUCGAGCUGUCGGUGGAAACCGUGUGGCUAGAGUCCGGAAGAGGAGAGUGGAAUUCCCGGUGUAGCGGUGAAAUGCGCAGAUAUCGGGAAGAACACCUAUGGCGAAGGCAGCUCUCUGGGACGGUACUGACGCUGAGACGCGAAAGCGUGGGGAGCGAACAGG